UUCCGCAGCGGGGCUGAGCAAGUCUGUUGAGGAUGAAUCUCUUGGAGUUCCGGCAAACUGCAUGAAGAGGAGUCACUGAGAUGGGUCGGCUCUUAGGGUCUGUUGGGCUUGACAGUCACUUUCACCUUAGAUCUGUCGAGAUCCCACUCUGGUUGUCUUGUCUUGCAUACGCGUGUAUAGGCUCACUCACUCUUCGUUGAACGGGAGAGCCUGAGUUUUAGAUGCCUAGGGGUGUUCUUGUCACCACAGUUGCAAUAAGCAACUCCACCAACACAGCCUUGCUUGCUAUGUGGAUGAUGGGGAUGUCUAUCCACAGGAUGAGUCAGUACCAGAAAGACAUUAAAGAAGAGAACAUGGUUAAAGGAGAGAAACUUGAGUAACCAGGCUGGGAAUCAUAUUUGAACCAGUGAAUAAUGUUGCUGGUCAGAGCUCCUAUGGGUUACUGCCAAGAAGAUCUUGUUGAGGGAUCAGAGAGUUAGUAUCGGUUCUUGAUUUGUUGUUGUCAACAGUAUAUGUAGUUCUCUAUUGAACUGGUUUAUCCCGUCAUUUACUGAUAAUAUUACGA